UCACGUGGCCCGUUUCCCUUGGAUUUUUCAUUAAAACUUUACGACGUCAAGCGAAGAACAACGUAAUAUUUGAGGAAUAUUGCUCGUAACUUUGGACUUUUCGUUCCAUCCUUCAGGUAUUUUACAAAUUACAUCAACGAGAUAAAUUAAAAUUUGUCACAAAUCACUUUUACUUUAUCCGCGUUUAUUAUAAGUCUAUAGUACAUGGCUUGUACAAUGAUAUCGAAGAAGUAAAAUCUCUGAAAGGACUAUGCAAACGUUCCGGAAAUUAAUGGCGGGGCUGGUUCCGUGAAACGGAUAUGCAAAUAGAUUCAAUUAAUAACGAUAAAUGGCGAACUCUCUUUCCAGCUGUGACUUCACACGUUUUGCGUUUAUGUAGGUACGUGAAUCUUUUUAAUGAAUUUCUGCGGAUAGACGCCCCUUUCAAUUAGGAAAAUAGAAUGGCAAUACGUUCAAUGGGGUGCUAUUGCAUAGAUUAUCUU
rnacentral:misc_RNA from 1 species